rnacentral:rRNA from 1 species
UAGAGUUUGAUCAUGGCUCAGAUUGAACGCUGGCGGCAGGCCUAACACAUGCAAGUCGAGCGGCAGCACAGGGGAACUUGUUCCCUGGGUGGCGAGCGGCGGACGGGUGAGUAAUGGCUGGGAACCUGCCCUGAUGUGGGGGAUAACAGUUGGAAACGACUGCUAAUACCGCAUGAUGUCUACGGACCAAAGAGGAGGACCUUCGGGCUUCUCGCGUCAGGAUGGGCCCAGUUGGGAUUAGCUAGUUGGUAGGGUAAUGGCCUACCAAGGCGACGAUCCCUAGCUGGUUUGAGAGGAUGAUCAGCCACACUGGAACUGAGACACGGUCCAGACUCCUACGGGAGGCAGCAGUGGGGAAUAUUGCACAAUGGGCGCAAGCCUGAUGCAGCCAUGCCGCGUGUGUGAAGAAGGCCUUCGGGUUGUAAAGCACUUUCAGCAGUGAGGAAGGUUACGUAGUAAAUACCUGCGUGAUUUGACGUUAGCUGCAGAAGAAGCACCGGCUAACUCCGUGCCAGCAGCCGCGGUAAUACGGAGGGUGCGAGCGUUAAUCGGAAUUACUGGGCGUAAAGCGCAUGCAGGCGGUCUGUUAAGCAAGAUGUGAAAGCCCCGGGCUUAACCUGGGAACCGCAUUUUGAACUGGCAGGCUAGAGUCUUGU